CAAGUACUCCCUCCGUCCAAAAAUACUUGUCAUCAAAAUGGAUGAAAAAGAUGUAUCUAGAACUAAUAUACAUCUAGAUACAUCCCCUUUUAUUCAUUUUGACGACAAGUAUUUCCGGACGGAGGGAGUACUAC
rnacentral:pre_miRNA from 1 species